rnacentral:rRNA from 1 species
AGAGUUUGAUCCUGGCUCAGAUUGAACGCUGGCGGCAGGCCUAACACAUGCAAGUCGAGCGGCAGCACGGGUACUUGUACCUGGUGGCGAGCGGCGGACGGGUGAGUAAUGCCUAGGAAUCUGCCUGGUAGUGGGGGAUAACGCUCGGAAACGGACGCUAAUACCGCAUACGUCCUACGGGAGAAAGCAGGGGACCUUCGGGCCUUGCGCUAUCAGAUGAGCCUAGGUCGGAUUAGCUAGUUGGUGAGGUAAUGGCUCACCAAGGCGACGAUCCGUAACUGGUCUGAGAGGAUGAUCAGUCACACUGGAACUGAGACACGGUCCAGACUCCUACGGGAGGCAGCAGUGGGGAAUAUUGGACAAUGGGCGAAAGCCUGAUCCAGCCAUGCCGCGUGUGUGAAGAAGGUCUUCGGAUUGUAAAGCACUUUAAGUUGGGAGGAAGGGCAUUUACCUAAUACGUAAGUGUUUUGACGUUACCGACAGAAUAAGCACCGACUAACUCUGUGCCAGCAGCCGCGGUAAUACAGAGGGUGCAAGCGUUAAUCGGAAUUACUGGGCGUAAAGCGCGCGUAGGUGGUUUGUUAAGUUGGAUGUGAAAUCCCCGGGCUCAACCUGGGAACUGCAUUCAAAACUGACAAGCUAGAGUAUGGUAGAGGGNGGNGGAAUUUCCUGUGUAGCGGNGAAAUGCGUAGAUAUAG